GCGUGGGAAUAUACCCAAUGGUACGGAAUAGCCUCUGGAAACGGAGAGUAAUACCGUAUGUGCCCUUCGGGGGAAAGAUUUAUCGCCAUUGGAUUAGCCCGCGUCUGAUUAGAUAGUUGGUGGGGUAACGGCCUACCAAGUCGACGAUCAGUAGCUGGUUUGAGAGGAUGAUCAGCAACACUGGGACUGAGACACGGCCCAGACUCCUACGGGAGGCAGCAGUGGGGAAUCUUAGACAAUGGGCGCAAGCCUGAUCUAGCCAUGCCGCGUGAGUGACGAAGGCCUUAGGGUCGUAAAGCUCUUUCGCCUGUGAAGAUAAUGACUGUAGCAGGUAAAGAAACCCCGGCUAACUCCGUGCCAGCAGCCGCGGUAAUACGGAGGGGGUUAGCGUUGUUCGGAAUUACUGGGCGUAAAGCGCACGUAGGCGGACCGAAAAGUUGGGGGUGAAAUCCCAGGGCUCAACCCUGGAACUGCCUCCAAAACUCUCGGUCUGGAGUUCGAGAGAGGUAAGUGGAAUUCCGAGUGUAGAGGUGAAAUUCGUAGAUAUUCGGAGGAACACCAGUGGCGAAGGCGACUUACUGGCUCGAUACUGACGCUGA
rnacentral:rRNA from 1 species